ACUGAGAAGUUCCCCGUGCAAACCGGGUCGUCCUGACGCUUAACAGCUAGCUCGAUUCCCCAACUCCACCCCUCAAAUAUUAAUAACCCUUAACACACUAAAAAGUUUAACCAAACCAUUUUUCCCCUUAAGUAUAGGAGAUAGAAAAAGAUCCCCGAAUGCAAUAGACAAAGUACCGCAAGGGAAUGCUGAAAGAGAAAUGAAACAACUCAGUAAAGCAUAAAAAAGCAGAGCUUUGCCCUCGUACCUUUUGCAUCAUGUUUUAGCAAGAGCCCUUUAAGCAAAAAGAAUUUUAGUUUAAACACCCGAAACUAGGUGAGCUACUCCAAGACAGUCUUAUUUUUAGGACCAACCCGUCUCUGUGGCAAAAGGGUGGGAAGAUCUUUGAGUAGAGGUGACAAGCCUACCGAACCUUGUUAUAGCUGGUUGCCUGAAAACUGAAUAGAAGUUCAGCCUCUAAACUUUCUUAUGCUCCUACAUCUACCUUAGGCUAACUUCUACAGAUAAAGAGAAGUCUAGAGAGUUAAUCAAAGGGGGUACAGCCCCUUUGAAAUAAGAUACAACUUUACAAAGAAGGGUAAGGAUCAUAACCCGUUUUAUAUUAAGGCAAAAUAUUUUUGUUGGCCUAAGAGCAGCCACCUUAAAAAGAAAGCGUUAAAGCUCAAAUAUUAAUUUUAAAGCCUAAAAUCCCGACUAUAAAAUCCUAGCCCCCUUUCAUCUAACAGGCCGUCCCAUCUUGUAUAAUUAUGGGAGCGAUAAUGCUAGUAUGAGUAACCAGAGGACUUUAAGCCCCUCUCCUUGCACAAGUGUAUCCCGGAACGGACCCCCGCCGGAAAUUACCAGGCCCCAAUCAAAGCGGGCACAGGAGAAAAAAGAAAAAACAAGAAAUUUCUCCUAAAACAACCGUUAACCCCACACUGGUGCGCCCACAUGGAAAGACUAAAAGAAAAAGAAGGAACUCGGCAAAUUCAACUAUAAGCCUCGCCUGUUUACCAAAAACAUCGCCUCUUGCAUAAGAAAUAUAAGAGGUCCCGCCUGCCCUGUGACAAGUAGUUCAACGGCCGCGGUAAUUUGACCGUGCGAAGGUAGCG
rnacentral:rRNA from 1 species